UCCAAAAGUCUUGUCCAAUUGAACUCUUGCAAGAAUGUACAGAUGUUUUAACACUGGACAGAGGUAUUCUUUUAAUUUCUUGACCGCGCAAAAAUCGAUCAUCGACUGGCUACAUCAUUGAUCCAGUUGACGUCCAACGCUCAGUAUAAAAAAAGUGGCCCAUAUGACACCAGGCUUGGGACAAAGAUAGUGUUUAAAACCCUGGCCAAUUCGCCCUAAGGGCACAGGCGUAUUACAUAUAAACAAUGAUUAAACUACUAGAGAAAACCUUAAAAUGAAUAAAUGGAUGGGUUAUAAAUAAAACCAGACCGCCGGGGCCAACUUCGACCGCGUCAAUGUUUGUAUACCCUCGAA